GUUGGUGCGGUGAUCGCGCAGGUUCAAGCGUCGCCGAAGGUGCCGAGACGGCGGCGGAGAUCGUCCCGUUUCGUCCACCGGAGGCGGCGUCGUACUCCUCGCGAGCACGAGCCAGCAGCGGUUGGACCGGAGCCACAAGGCGACGGCGGAAGGUGAGUUGACGUGGGCUCGUCUCGCGUCGACGGCUUACAGCCCCGUCGUACGGUGCUCCGGGUCGACCGAGGAACGAGGGCAGCCCUUGCCCGUGACGGUGCACGCCGAAUGGCGGGGCCUCCCGACGCGAGUGAGUCGUGCGGCGUGGACUGCGUGCAGUGCUAGCCGUGGCGGCGAUCUCGAGCCGGAGAGUGCCACCCGUGCGCCAGUGCUGCUGGCAUUGAGACGGCCUCGUCCG
rnacentral:rRNA from 1 species